UACGGAGGGUGCAAGCGUUAUCCGGAUUCACUGGGUUUAAAGGGUGCGUAGGUGGGCAGGUAAGUCAGUGGUGAAAUCUCUGGGCUUAACCCAGAAACUGCCGUUGAUACUAUCUGUCUUGAAUGUAGUGGAGGUGAGCGGAAUAUGUCAUGUAGCGGUGAAAUGCUUAGAUAUGACAUAGAACACCCAUUGCGAAGGCAGCUCGCUACACUAUUAUUGACACUGGGGCACGAAAGCGUGGGGAUCAAACAGG
rnacentral:rRNA from 1 species